AGGCUCCAGACAGCAUUCUGCGGAAGAAAAUCGACAGAUAUGUGCCGAGGCGGCCAAACCUCUUGUAGAUGCAGUGGAUGAAUUGACAACAUUUGCUUCUUAACCAGAAUUUGCAUCAAAACAGGCAUCCACAACACAAGAGAAUAUAACGACUGCUGGUGAUGGCAUGAAAGAUUUUGUCUGGGAUCUGUUACAGAUAUUGGAGGAACCUGUGUCCCAGGCUGGAGAAGUGACCACCAUGAUUGCAAGUCUAUAACCAAGACUGACGAAAGAAUAGAAUUGAAACAAGGUCUUGGAUUUGUUGACUACCGGACCAACAUGGUGAAACUGGCAAAGAAUAUUGCAAAAACUGCACAGGAUAUGAUGAGUGUUAACAUUGUUAGUAAAGUCAG
rnacentral:lncRNA from 1 species